AAUUUGACAACGUAGUUUGAAAAUUUGUUGUCUAUUUGUUUUUUAAAAGUGAUGCUUUUAAAUUCAAUUUUGGUGUUUCAUUUACUGUUCGACUGACCGACAAAUGAGGGCAUUAGUUUCUUCACUGUGCAACAUUAUCUAGUUAAUAUUCAACUAAUUAAUGAGAGCACCUGAAAGUUUAUGUAUUUUAACUUUCUCUGAAACAAGAAUAGAUCUGGAAUGGUGCAGUUCUUCCUUGUUUGAUUUGCUUUUCCUGCUUUGGAGAACGCUACAGUCGAGUUGAUUAAGUUCAAUGGUGGAAAAGACAAAUAAAACCCUGCACUUAUGAUUGGAAUGCUUCUUUAUUUUGUACUUUGAAUGAAUUUUUUAUUGUUUGUGUUUUUAUUUUGUAUGUUUCUUACUUACAUCUUUGCUUUGCUUACUGCAUAUUGUUCUUAAUUUACUUUACAUUUACAUUACAUCUUCUACAUGA